rfam:Ovis aries breed Texel chromosome 3, whole genome shotgun sequence.
UCCCUGCUGGCUCAGUGGUAAAGAAUCUGCCUGCAAUGCAGAAGGCACAGGAAAUGCAGGUUUGAUCCCUGUGUGGGGAA